GAUGAACGCUAGCGGCAGGCCUAACACAUGCAAGUCGAGGGGUAGCAGGAUUAAGCUUGCUUAAUUGCUGACGACCGGCGCACGGGUGCGUAACGCGUAUGCAACCUACCUUAUACUGGGGUAUGGCCCGGAGAAAUUCGGAUUAAUCCCCCAUAGUACUAAUGAAUCGCAUGGUUUAUUAGUUAAAGCAUUGCGGUAUAAGAUGGGCAUGCGUCCUAUUAGCUAGAUGGUGAGGUAACGGCUCACCAUGGCUACGAUAGGUAGGGGGCCUGAGGGGGUGGUCCGCAACACUGGUACUGAGACACGGACCAGACUCCUACGGGAGGCAGCAGUGAGGAAUAUUGGUCAAUGGGCGCAAGCCUGAUCCAGCAAUGCCGCGUGUGUGAAGAAGGCCUGCGGGUUGUAAAGCACUUUCAGUGGGGAGGAACGUUUUUAGCACUAAUACUGCUAAGAGGUGACGCUACCCAAAGAAGAAGCACCGGCUAACUCUGUGCCAGCCGCCGCAGUAA
rnacentral:rRNA from 1 species